rnacentral:rRNA from 1 species
GACGAACGCUGACGGCGUGCUUAACACAUGCAAGUCGAAGGGAGUGGCGAACGGGUGAGUAACACGUGAGUAACCUGCCCUUUUCUUUGGGAUAAGCCUGGGAAACUGGGCCUAAUACUGGUUGGAUUGGGCUGGGCUCGCGGCUUAUCAGCUUGUUGGUGGGGUGAUGGCUUACCAAGGAUUUGACGGGUAGCCGGCCUGAGAGGGUGGGCGGUAACACUGGGACUGAGAUACGGCCCAGGAUACUACGGGAGGGAGCAGAGGGGGAUAUUGGACAAUGGACGAAAGUCUGAUGCAGCGACGUCGUGUGGGGGAUGAAGGCCUUGGGGUUGUACACUCGUUUCGCCCGCGGAGUGGUAGUGGGUAAAGAAGCGCCGGCUAACUCCGUGCCAGCAGCCGCGGUAAUAC